rnacentral:rRNA from 1 species
UGGGGAAUCAUGGUCAAUGGGCGAAAGCCUGAACCUGCGACGCCGCGUGAGUGAUGAAGGUCGUAAGAUCGUAAAACUCUUUUCAGGGAUCUUAAAGCCUGUCUGUCAACAACAGGCAGGUCUGACUCUCCCUGGAAGAAGCCCCAGCCAACUACGUGCCAGCAGCUGCGGUAAUACGUAGGGGGCGAGCGUUAUUCGGAAUUACUGGGUGUAAAGGGUAUGUAGGCGGCCCUUCAAGUCGCGUGUCAAAGUCCAGUGCUCAACGCUGGGUGUGCACGCGAUACUGACGGGCUUGAGGGCUGGAGAGGUGAGCGGAAUUCCCGGUGUAGAGGUGAAAUUCGUAGAGAUCGGGAGGAAUAUCAGUGGCGAAGGCGCCCAUCUGGACGGUAACUGACGCUGAGACGCGAAAGCGUGGGGAGCAAACA